UUAGUAUCGGACUGGUGAGUAACGUGUGGGAUACUUCCUAUGAGAGGGGGACAACAGUUAUAAAGUACUGAUAAUACCGCAUGAAGCAGCGUGGAGACAUGUCCUUGAUGUCAAAGAUUUAUCGAUGAAAGAUGGCCUAUUUUCUGAUUAGCUAGUUGGUGGUGUAACUGGACCACCAAGGCGACGAUCAGUAGCAGGAGUGAGAGGUUGACCGGCCACAUUGGGACUGAGAUAUGGCCUAGACUCCUACAGGAGGCAGCAGUGGGGAAUAGUGGGCAAUGGACGCAAGUCUGACCCAGCAACGCCGCGUGAAGGAAGAAGGCUUUCGGGUUGUAGAACUUCUUUUAACAGGGAAGAGAAGAAGACGGUACCUGUUGAAUAAGCCACGGCUAACUACGUGCCAGCAGCCGCGGUAAUACGUAGGUGGCAAGCGUUGUCCGGAUUUAUUGGGUGUAAAGGGCGUGUAGCCGGGAAGGCAAGUCAGAUGUGAAAUCUGGAGGCUCAACCUCCAAACUGCAUUUGAAACUGCUUUUCUUGAGUAUCGGAGAGGUAAUCGGAAUUCCUUGUGUAGCGGUGAAAUGCGUAGAUAUAAGGAAGAACACCAGUGGCGAAGGCGGAUUACUGGACGACAACUGACGGUGAGGCGCGAAAGCGUGGGGAGCAAACAGGAUUAGAUACCCUGGUAGUCCACGCUGUAAACGAUCAAUACUAGGUGUGCGGGGACUGACCCCCUGCGUGCCGCAGUUAACACAAUAAGUAUUGCACCUGGGGAGUACGAUCGCAAGGUGAAA
rnacentral:rRNA from 1 species